rnacentral:rRNA from 1 species
CCUUACCUGGUCUUGACAUCCACGGAACUUUCCAGAGAUGGAUUGGUGCCUUCGGGAACCGUGAGACAGGUGCUGCAUGGCUGUCGUCAGCUCGUGUUGUGAAAUGUUGGGUUAAGUCCCGCAACGAGCGCAACCCUUAUCCUUUGUUGCCAGCGGUCCGGCCGGGAACUCAAAGGAGACUGCCAGUGAUAAACUGGAGGAAGGUGGGGAUGACGUCAAGUCAUCAUGGCCCUUACGACCAGGGCUACACACGUGCUACAAUGGCGCAUACAAAGAGAAGCGACCUCGCGAGAGCAAGCGGACCUCAUAAAGUGCGUCGUAGUCCGGAUUGGAGUCUGCAACUCGACUCCAUGAAGUCGGAAUCGCUAGUAAUCGUGGAUCAGAAUGCCACGGUGAAUACGUUCCCGGGCCUUGUACACACCGCCCGUCACACCAUGGGAGUGGGUUGCAAAAGAAGUAGGUAGCUUAACCUUCGGGAGGGCGCUUACCACUUUGUGAUUCAUGACUGGGGUGAAGUCGUAACAAGGUAACCGUAGGGGAACCUGCGGUUGGAUCACCUCCUUACCUGAAAGAAGC